rnacentral:rRNA from 1 species
GUGACAAUAAAUAACAAUGUAGGGCUCUUAUGGGUCUUAUAAUUGGAAUGAGUACAAUUUAAAUCCCUUAACGAGGAUCAAUUGGAGGGCAAGUCUGGUGCCAGCAGCCGCGGUAAUUCCAGCUCCAAUAGCGUAUACUAAAAUUGUUGCCGUUAAAAAGCUCGUAGUCGAACUUCGGCCUUUGCCGCCCGGUCCGCCUUUUUGGUGUGUACUGGAGCGGUGGAGGCCUACUUCGUGGUGAACGGCCAUGCUCUUUACUGGGUGUGGUCGGGAACCAUGACUUUUACCUUGAAAAAAUUAGAGUGUUCAAAGCAGGCUUACGCCCGAAUACAUUAGCAUGGAAUAAUAAAAUAAGACGUGCGUUCUUAUUUUGUUGGUUUCUAGGAUCGCCGUAAUGAUUAAUAGGGAUAGUUGGGGGCAUUCGUAUUCAAUCGCUAGAGGUGAAAUUCUUGGAUUGAUUGAAGACGAACUACUGCGAAAGCAUUUGCCAAGGAUGUUUUCAUUGAUCAAGAACGAAGGUUAGGGGAUCGAAAACGAUCAGAUACCGUUGUAGUCUUAACAGUAAACGAUGCCAACUAGGGAUCGGACGAGGAUUUUUAAUGACUCGUUCGGCACCUGAAGAGAAAUCUUUAAGUCUAGGUUCGGGGGGGAGUAUGGUCGCAAGGCUGAAACUUAAAGGAAUUGACGGAAGGGCACCACCAUGGUGUGGAGCCUGCGGCUUAAUUUGACUCAACACGGGGAAACUCACCAGGUCCAGACACGACNAGGAUUGACAGAUUGAUAGCUCUUUCUUGAUUUCGUGGUUGGUGGUGCAUGGCCGUUCUUANUUGGUGGANUGAUUUGUCUGGUUAAUUCCGAUAACGAACGAGACCUUAACCUGCUAAAUAGCCCGGCCGACUUUGGUUGGUCGCUGGCUUCUUANANGGAACUAUCGGCGUUUAGCCCAUGGAA